CACAUACUCCCUUCGUUCGGAAUUACUUCUCAAAUAAACGGAUAAAAAUGGAUGUAUCUAUAACUAAAAUAUGUCUAAAUACACUCAUUCAUCUCACAAGUAUUUCCGAACGAAGGGAGUAACAU
rfam:Hordeum vulgare subsp. vulgare, WGS project CAJW01000000 data, contig: morex_contig_1571268